rnacentral:rRNA from 1 species
GGCUUGUUGACUAUAAUUUCAAGUCAGGCCUGCCCUAUGAAGAAUUAAAUGGCCGCGGUAUAUUAACCGUGCAAAGGUAGCAUAAUCAUUAGUUUUUUUAUUGAAAACUGGAAUGAAAGGUUAGAUGAAAAAAUUUCUGUCUCUAAAGAGAUUAAUUAGAAUUUUAUUUUUAAGUGAAAAAGCUUAAAUUUUCAUAGAAGACGAGAAGACCCUAUAGAGUUUAAUAUUUUUAUAAAAUAAGGAUUCUAGGUUAUAAAAAUUUAUGUUUUUGAAAGGAUAUUUUAUUGGGGUGAUAGAAAAAUUAGAUAAACUUUUUUUUAAAAAUUUCAUUUGUUUAUGAGUUAUUGAUCCUAAAUUUUAGGUUGGAAGAUAAAAUUACCUUAGGGAUAACAGCGUAAUAUUUUUUAGAGUUCGUAUCAAAAAAAAUGUUUGCGACCUCGAUGUUGGAUUAAAGUUUAUGAUUGGCGAAGAAGUUAAUCUAUUAAGUCUGUUCGACUUUUAAAUCUUUACAUGAUCUGAGUUUAGACCGGCGUGAG